rnacentral:rRNA from 1 species
GACGAACGCUGGCGGCGUGCUUAACACAUGCAAGUCGAACGGAGAAUUUUAUUUCGGUAGAAUUCUUAGUGGCGAACGGGUGAGUAACGCGUAGACAACCUGCCUCUUAGAUGGGGACAACAUCGCGAAAGCGGUGCUAAUACCGAAUGAAGUGGAGCUUCCGCAUGGAAGCAUCACCAAAGGUGGCCUCUAUUUAUAAGCUACCACUGAGAGAUGGGUCUGCGUCUGAUUAGCUAGUUGGCGGGGUAAUGGCCCACCAAGGCGACGAUCAGUAGCCGGUCUGAGAGGAUGAACGGCCACAUUGGGACUGAGACACGGCCCAAACUCCGACGGGAGGCAGCAGUGGGGAAUCUUCCGCAAUGGACGAAAGUCUGACGGAGCAACGCCGCGUGAGUGAAGAAGGUUUUCGGAUCGUAAAGCUCUGUUGUUUGAGACGAAUGUGCAGACUUUGAAUAAGGGUUUGUAAUGACGGUAUUAAACGAGAAAGCCACGGCUAACUACGUGCCAGCAGCCGCCGUAA